AUUGUACGCUCGCGGCAGGCCUAACACAUGCGAGUCGAGCGAGCGGCGGACGGGUGAGUAAUGUAUGGGGACUGCCCGAAAGAGGGGGAUAACUACUGGAAACGGUAGCUAAUACCGCAUACUAUCGGAUAACCAAUAUGGGAUUAGCUAGUAGGUGAGGUAAUGGCUCACCUAGGCGACGAUCCCUAGCUGGUCUGAGAGGAUGAUCAGCCACACUGCGACUGAGAAACUGCCCCGACUCCUACGGAGGCAGCAGUGGGGAAUAUUGCCCGAUGGGCGCAAGCCUGCUGCAGCCAUGCCGCGUGUAUGAAGAAGUCCCUAGGGUUGUAAAGGACUUUCAGUCGGGAGGCGUUACCGAAAGGAGAAGAACCGGCUGACUCCGCGCCAGCAGCCGCGGUAAUAC
rnacentral:rRNA from 1 species